UUUUGACGAUGAUGGCGCUCUAGGCAAGCAGCUCUGAUAUCAUGAUAAAAAGAAUAGAAGAUAAGAAGCUUUAUUGAAGUAACUUUAACUUGAAUGCAUGGGAGGAUUUUCCUCAAUAGAAUAGAGGAUUUUCCUCAACAGAAUAGAUAGGAAAUCUUAUUUUCUAUCAAUUCUGAGCAUUAAGUUUUGCACUGUGAUUGUCGUACUUAUAUCAGUCUACUUUUCGGUGGCAGAUCUAAUGGCUCUGCGAGCCGUAGAGGAAAGAGAGAUGCAAGAGAUGCCCUGUGAUGAUUGUUACUAUGACACAGCUUCACUUGUGGUCAAUUAUAGCCAUCGUGAUGCCAGGAGGAGCUCUGAUGUCUCUACAAUCCGAGAGUCAAUUAUCUUUUCACACAAUGAUUGAGGAAAACAUCUCUGGUUCAGGUGCCCCUUGUAUUGGUUCACCCUAAGGUUCUUCUCCAACACCUGCGAAGCUCAUAUACUUUAUCUUUGAGAAAGCCGUAGAUACUAGAAAGCAACUGCAAGUGCACCCACCUCUUUUACAUUUAUGCUUUAAUUAUAAAGUUAGUGAAAUCAGCUUUAGGCUGAUAGACUUUUGACAGACAAUUUUGAUCAGUGUUACAUGAGCCUUUGCAGAAUUCUAAAUGAUUUUGCAGGUAUUGCAAAUUGAUAGGAAUAAUCUUGUCCCAUACCGGUUCAUCU
rnacentral:lncRNA from 1 species